rnacentral:rRNA from 1 species
GAUGAACGCUGGCGGCGUGCCUAAUACACGCAAGUCGAGCGAAUGGAUUAAGAGCUUGCUCUUAUGAAGUUAGCGGCGGACGGGUGAGUAACACGUGGGUAACCUGCCCAUAAGACUGGGAUAACUCCGGGAAACCGGGGCUAAUACCGGAUAACAUUUUGAACCGCAUGGUUCGAAAUUGAAAGGCGGCUUCGGCUGUCACUUAUGGAUGGACCCGCGUCGCAUUAGCUAGUUGGUGAGGUAACGGCUCACCAAGGCAACGAUGCGUAGCCGACCGGAGAGGGUGAUCGGCCACACUGGGACUGAGACACGGCCCAGACUCCUACGGGAGGCAGCAGUAGGGAAUCUUCCGCAAUGGACGAAAGUCUGACGGAGCAACGCCACGUGAGUGAUGAAGGCUUUCGGGUCGUAAAACUCUGUUGUUAGGGAAGAACAAGUGCUAGUUGAAUAAGCUGGCACCUUGACGGUACCUAACCAGAAAGCCACGGCUAACUACGUGCCAGCCGCCGCCGUAA